rnacentral:rRNA from 1 species
AUGGUUAAGUUAUGAAGGGCGCACGGUGAAUGCCUUGGCACUAGGAGCCGAAGAAGGACGGGACGAACAGCGAAAUGCCUCGGGGAGCUGUAAGUAAGCUUUGAUC